rnacentral:misc_RNA from 1 species
AACGCACGAGACCUGCGGACCUGCGGAAGGAUCAUUACCGAGUUAUCCAACUCCCAACCCCUGUGAAUUAUACCUUUAAUUGUUGCUUCGGCGGGACUUCGCGCCCGCCGGGGACCCAAACCUUCUGAAUUUUUUAAUAAGUAUCUUCUGAGUGGUUAAAAAAAUGAAUCAAAGCUUUUAGCAACGGAUCUCU